UGAUCGGCUUUCUCCGUUGUUCGAGCUUGUGUUCGGCUACUUUUUGUAGCAGUAGGGCGGUGUACACCUUAUUAAAAGUUAGGUUAUAUUUUUCACUUUUCAAACUGGAAGGUCGACUUGCAGCGGCGGCGCAGAGGAAGAAAGGACACUGUGUGACGUGAAAGGCACAGGUGCAUCCAGGUGUUUCACAAACAACAGUGGCUGCCAGACAAUUGAGUCUCUGCACAUGCCAUUGAAGAAACCAGCAUCCUCAGUGAGUGAACGGUUCGACUUGUUCCUGGGAGUUGAUGGCCAAGCAGAUCUGUCUGCCCCGCCUGCCUGCAUCUGAAUGUCAAAGAGCAUCUCGGAGAUGUCACGGCCCUCCUGCCACACGAGAGGAACUUCCCUCCAGUCCUCACCGUUACCCACAAGACACCUGGACAGGAGAGAGAGGUUGGCGAGGAGCAGCGGUUGAU